GACGAGCGCUGGCGGCGUGCCUAAUACAUGCAAGUCGAGCGGACCUCUUCGGAGGUUAGCGGCGGACGGGUGAGUAACACGUGGGCAACCUGCCUGUAAGACUGGGAUAACUUCGGGAAACCGGAGCUAAUACCGGAUAAUCCUUUCCCUCUCAUGAGGGAAAGCUGAAAGACGGUUUCGGCUGUCACUUACAGAUGGGCCCGCGGCGCAUUAGCUAGUUGGUGAGGUAACGGCUCACCAAGGCGACGAUGCGUAGCCGACCUGAGAGGGUGAUCGGCCACACUGGGACUGAGACACGGCCCAGACUCCUACGGGAGGCGGCAGUAGGGAAUCUUCCGCAAUGGACGAAAGUCUGACGGAGCAACGCCGCGUGAGCGAAGAAGGCCUUCGGGUCGUAAAGCUCUGUUGUCAGGGAAGAACAAGUAUCGGAGUAACUGCCGGUACCUUGACGGUACCUGACCAGAAAGCCACGGCUAACUACGUGCCAGCCGCCGCAGUAA
rnacentral:rRNA from 1 species